rnacentral:lncRNA from 1 species
CAGAUCCUCAACUGCUAGGCCACCAUGAAACUCCAUAAUGUUCAUUUCUAAAAUGGUGCUUUCUUUUAUUUGUCAUUCUUUCUUGAGUUUCCUGAGUCACCUUUGAAUCACAUCUUUUGUGAAUUAAAAAUUUUUGAAAUUUUUUCAUGCCUGUGUCAUUUAGUAUCUUUUAUCUGGCUUCGAAUUAGGGCAUGCUUUUAUUGUCUGUAGGGAUAUUAGCUGUUUAAUAACUCUUCCUUAUAGUAAUUUUGUAUGGUAUCUGACAUCCGUAGAUUCUGUUGUUCGUUUUUUUGUUGUUGUUGUUUUUUGGUUUUUUUUUUUUGCUUUUUAGGACCACACCCGCAGCAUAUGGAGGUUCCCAGGCUAGGGGUCCAGUUGGAGCUACAGCUGUUGGCCUACAGCUCACGGCAACACUGGGUCCUUAACCCACUGAGCAAGGCCAGGGAUAGAACCUGCAACCUCAUGAUUCCUAGUCAGAUUUGUUUCUGCUGUGCCACAGUGGAAACUCCCUUUUGUUCAUUUUUAUGUGAAGUUAAUUUUCUUCAUCUCUUCGAAGGAGGAUUAAUUUAAUUUGUUCCCCCUCCCCCAUAAUACUUCUUCUGUUGUACAGCUUCUAUGGUGGUUUUUGCACAGACAGCUUGCUUUCUGGGGUUUCCUAAUUCCUCUCUAUCAGUUUUAUCUAGACCUGCUCUUUCUUUCUUUGUGGUUCCUGUUUUGCCUAAUUUUGAUUCCACUCAAAGCAUUUUCUCCUCAUUGUGGAUCCGUGUCCUGGAAGGGGGUCCUGGAGGGUCAGUUUCAAGAGUCCAUGGAGACAAACUGCUGCAGCCCUUUCAGACGUGCACUCACCUACUAUUGGACUGGGCAGAGCCCCUUUGAGUUUCAGUUGCUAACCUGAGAUUGGUCCAUUGUGCUUUCUACUGACUUUCCAGAGGGCUCUGGGAGUUCUCCUGUUCUGCCAGCCCGCAGGCAUCCCAUUGCUUUCUCUGCUUUCUUUGGCAUAGUCAUUAGUAAUACUGUCUUCUGGCUGCUGGUGGUUUGUCCUUGCCUGCCCUGUACUGUAGAGUUUGUGAGGAUUCUUGUCAUUGAGUUAUGUCAUAAAUGUUACCUGUGAGUUUUUGUUCCCUAAACUGUUUUAAUAGUCUGUUUUUGUUUCAUUUAGAGAAAGUUCUAGUUUUCUGUACAGAAAGUGAAGAAUUUUAAUCUUAUUUCACGGAGAAAAGAGUUUGCUUUUAUAAGAUAACAACCUUGUCAUGAAGGCCAAGAAGGUAAAUUUUAGUCAAUUAAAAUUUAAGUUUGUGUUUUAGUUAGUGGUUUUACUGUGAAAUCACCAUAGAAUGGGUUAGAAGACUAAUUACUUUUAUUAAUCAUCAAGUAACUAAAAAUUAUCGAGAAUGUGUUAACUAGCUGACUGUAUAUUAGUAUGUUAUUGAAAAUUUCAGCGGGAGGCCAAUUUUUUAGUAUCAGCUAAUAAGUAGUACAAAUACUUCACUGUAAAGUACUUCUUACUAGGGACAUAAAUUAUCUCUUUUAUCUGGUUGUUCCUAUUUUGAGAAUAUAAAACACUUCAAAUAAAUCUAGUCAUUUAUGAAGAUUCAGAGAACUGGGAAUUUAUCUAAUUGUCCUUCCUGUUAUGUCAAUCCCAAUUUCCCUGUUUUCAUCAACUUGAAGACCCCCUUGGUUGUAAGAGCAUUUUGAUUUUGACUUUUUAAAAAACUGGCUACUUCAUUUGUUAUAUAUAGAGAGGGCCCAGAAGGGAGAGCUAAAAUUAAAUGAGAUAAUUCUGCUUCUUCAUACCUUCUCAGUUUAAUAUAGAAUGGAAAAGAAAUGUAGGCAAACCAUCUGAGAACCAAUAGUAUAGUUCAGAUAUCAAAUCAUAGCAUUCAUUCAGUGCAGUUCAGAUACCUAUGACAUUCUAUGUUGAAUGAUAAUUGUUAACAGUAGAAAUUUGUUUUAAAAAUGUAGUUUUCUUAUGUUAGGUACACAGCCAGUGUUCUGUUCCUCAAAUAAAUUCUGAUUCUAGGAGUUCCCCUUGUGGCUCAGUGGGCUAAGAACCCGACACAGUGUCUGUGAGGAUGUGGGUUUGAUCACUGGCCUCUUUCAGUGGGUUAAGGAUCCAGUGUUGCUGUGAGCUGUGGUGUAGGUAGCACAUGUGGCUCAGAUCUGGUUUUUCUGUGGCUGUGGCAUAGGCCAGCAGCUGCAACUCCAAUUUGACCCCUAGCCUGGGAAUUUCCAUGUGCUGUGGGUACAGCCCUAAAAAGACGAAGAAACAAAUUCUGAUUCUAAUUGCUAGUUAUUUACAGUAAUCAGAGAAGAUGAUGGGAAAGCCGUGCCUUCCAAUGUUAUUUUAAAAUUAAAAAAAGUUUUUUGGCUGCACACACGGCAUGUGGAGGUUCCAGGGCCAGGGAUCAGAUCCACACCACAGCAGUGACAACACCAGAUCCCUAACCCACUGAGCCACCAGGGAAUUCCAGUAUCUGCCAAUAUUUAGACAUAAGACUUAACAUGGAUCUUUCCUAAGUAUAUGCGAUUCAUUGUGGCAAGUACCUGUAGGAUCUCCUUAUGAUCCUUAUAUUUAUAAAUUUUUUCUAGGAUGGAUUUUAAGAGCAGAGUUUUAGCAAGUGUUCAGUUUCUAAGAAGUUUUAAGAAUGUUCUUUACAUUGAAUAAAGUGAUGGGAAGAUCCUCUCCUGUCUUUGAAGAUGGAAAGGAGUUGCUGCCUGUUUCAUAUAGGGCAGUUAGAAAGAAGGGGCUUACUGUGGGUGAAGGGAGAGCUGUUUCAAGAAGUAAGAUUUUGGACUUAAGUGUUAUUUUUUUAAGUAUGUUUUAUUGUCAGCCCUGUUUCAGUGUUUCUUUCCUUUUUUUUUAGAGAUAGUAUAUUUUAUUUUAUGCUUCUAAAAAUUUUUACUAUAGUUGAUUUAAAGUGUUCUGUUAGUUUCUGCUGUACAGCAGAGUGACCCAGUUACACAUAUAUACACACCCACACACAUUCAUUUUCUCACAUUAUCCUCCAUCAUGUUCUAUCACAAGAGAUUAGAGUUCCUGUGCUAUACAGCAGGAUCUCAUUACUUGUAUUUCUCUGUUUGCCUUAAUUCUAAAGAUCGCUACCAGGGCAAUCCAAGAUCUUCGAAUCAGUUCAGAAAGCCUGAGGUUUAAGAGGAGAUGAUAAAGAUGAAAGAAGGACUGGAAGGAGAUUCAGAGCUAACCAGUUUUCCUACUUCUUAUUUCAGUUCAGUAAAGAUCUCUCUGCUUGUGCUUUAUAUUGCUGUCCUUAUGAAAUGGUACUUUUCAGUUUAGGAAAAAUGUUUUGUUUCCUUAUUCCAUCUGAUCUAGAAGAGCAAGUUUUAGAUCUUCUCCCUGCUUUCAUUUUCUUCAAGAAAACUAGGGGUGACUGAGAUAUGGUGGCAGUUUGCCUGACCCUCCCCUGGAGUGACAUAGUAGAGAACCUAGGCUCAGAUAAUGGCUUUAAAGAAAUACUUACAAAGCCUUGAGAUGUGAGGCCUACUCUCUAGGUUUGAGAGCUACACAUUUUAGCAUGACCGUGGAUUGACUGGGCUGGAGCUAUAAUGGCUAAUUAUGCCUUGCCCAGGUUUCAGAAAUAGCAGAGAGGAAAGUGGAGACAUUUUUAAGAAAUUCAUGUUUUCUAUUUACGUGUUCUACUUACAUAUAUAUGUCCACUAUAGUAUGGCCUUUUCACCAUCAUAUUCUUCUUAAGUAUGAAUAUUUAGCAAUAUUUAUAUGCUAACCCCCUUUUUUAGAAGAAUACAUUUGGUCAUUGUAGAAAACUCAGACAAUUAACACAC